AUUGAACGCUGGCGGCAUGCUUUACACAUGCAAGUCGAACGGUAACAGGCCUUCGGGAGCUGACGAGUGGCGAACGGGUGAGUAAUGCAUCGGAACGUGCCCAGAGGUGGGGGAUAACGCAGCGAAAGCUGUGCUAAUACCGCAUGUGAUCUGAGGAUGAAAGCGGGGGACCAGGCAGCAAUGUUUGGCCUCGCGCCUUUGGAGCGGCCGAUGUCAGAUUAGGUAGUUGGUGGGGUAAAGGCCUACCAAGCCGACGAUCUGUAGCUGGUCUGAGAGGACGACCAGCCACACUGGGACUGAGACACGGCCCAGACUCCUACGGGAGGCAGCAGUGGGGAAUUUUGGACAAAGGGCGCAAGCCUGAUCCAGCAAUACCGCGUGCGGGAAGAAGGCCUUCGGGUUGUAAACCGCUUUUGUACGGAACGAAAAGGCUCUGGCUAAUACCUGGGGCUGAUGACGGUACCGUAAGAAUAAGCACCGGCUAACUACGUG
rnacentral:rRNA from 1 species